UCCAGGGUAGCCUAGUGGACAUGGCAUCUGCCCGGUAAGCGGAACAUUGUGGGUUCGAUUCCCUUCCCUGGAC
rnacentral:tRNA from 1 species